UCAUUCUUACAAUGACUAUUCAUCCAGCCCCAGCUCCAAGCUAGACACUAUUCUACCUUGGAGGUGAGAUGAGGCCUCCGGCCUCACAAAGUGAGAUGCUGAGAUGUUGCCUUGGCCCCAAAUCCAGGCCCCAGCCUGCCUCGUGGGCUCACUUAGGGUUAGAGAGGGACCAGUCGAGGUCACAGAUUCCCCAUGCAUGGGGCUCUGCUUCCUCAGCCCACUGUACUCCAGGGGACACUGAGGCCCAGAGGGGCCCAGUGACUCCCCAGGCCCCAUGGAGGAUCAGGGCAGGAGCACCGGCCAGAGUAGACUGACCUCCCAGAAGCCCUUGUGGCCCUGGAAGUGGCCAGCAUGCAACACGUCCUUGGUGAUGGGCUCUGGGUGGUAGAGCCACGACAGCUCUGCAGGCCGAUGCCUGUGCGGCUCCGGCAGGGCCACUGCGGGCAGAGCAGGCAGUCAGGGCGGAGGAGGGGCCCUCAGGGACCACAGGUGGGCUGCAGGGCAUGCUUGCUCUCUGGGGAUGGCUAGAGGCGGUAGCAGGACGGGAGCCCUCCCUGCAGGCAGUUACGUAGCCGGUGAGCCAGCUGCCUGACCCCAGGUGACUGAUGGGGCAGGAUGAGGCUCAGGCCAUGGACAGGCUCAGACAGAGGGCCGGGGAGACUUGUCGCCCCCUUGAUGUAUGUCCUGCUCCACGCAGGGCAGCUCCCUCCGGUCCCAGCCCCUUGCCCCUCACCUACCAUUCUGCCUGAUGUCCCCCCAGCCCGUCACCCAGCAGAAGGUGCCCUCAGGGCAGGUGGAGCCCGGCGAGGCCAGAGGGACCUGUCUGAGGGUGCUCGAGAAGAGCACAGGUCGUGCCAGCUUCACCAGGGCCACGUCGCCACCCUCCAGCGCGUUCCCAUUGCAGGAGGGGUGCUGUACGAUGCUGACGGCGGCCACGGAGGUGGAGCCCGGGGGAUGGGUGUACAGGACAGACUCGCCCAGCUGGACGGUCUGGUCCUGCGGCUUCUCGGGGCUGAAGGAAGCAGGAGGAGGAGGGCGGGCUGUGAGUCUGGGGGCCGGCUCCCGGGGGAGCAGCAUGGGGAUGCACCUGAGAUCUUUGUUCAGUCCCUGCAGGACCCUCUGCUCAACCCUGGCCCAUCAGGUCAGGUCCAGGCUGGGGGAUCACAGGACUGGCCACGCCACCCUUGUCCCCGAGGAGCCCAAUCUGGCUUGAGGGGGAAAGACCUCAGCAUAACAUCCAGCCAUGUGAUGAGACAGCCAUCCUUCGCCUGUCCAGAGCCCUCUGAGAGGCCGGGCCUGUGCCACUGGGGGACAGAAGGGUCACAGCCCUGCUCUCCCCAGGCCAGAUGGACAGCGAGGGAGGUAGUGCCCAGGUGACAGAGCGCCAGGCCAGCAGUGAGUGGAAGUGGCUCUGCACUGGGGCGCUCGGGGAGGCCAGUGGGAACGCAGCGGCUCCACGUAGGAGAGGCUGUUGCACGUGUUGGAUCAGCCAGAGCAGGGGCAGCAGUCAGGGGGCUGAGCUGUGGAGUCCCUGGAGCAGGUCGAGAGCCCCCUCCCAGCACCUGAGGACAGCUGAGCCUGCAGGAAGUUGGCCUUGGACAGGGAUGGGAGGGGGUUCCCAGAAGACAGGAGGGUGCUGGGGUUUCUUGCUAGAAGCGUCUUCUGCAUCCCUCCAGGAAGCCAGUCUCUGCCUGCGGCCCGGUGCUGCCUCGCUGGAGCCCUUGACUUCCCAGAGAGCGAGGUUUCACUCACCCCAGCAGGACUGUUCCUGUUCCGAACGCCUCCUCUCACAGGGCUGGGCUCACUGGGGCUGCGGGGGGACCCACGCCACCUGAGUCCACAGCCUGCACCUGCCGAAUGCCUAAUGUAUGGCCUCAGGACUGAAGUCUACCAAGAACAUUCCAGAAGGGGUCCCAGCACCGAGGGGCAGUGAAUGGCUGUUUUCCCCAGAAUUACAUUGGCACCAGCCCAGCAGCCAGCCAAGUUCAUGGCAGCAUGAUGCCCGACCGUCAACCGGGAGAAGUAACCCAAGCAUCCAACAGUGGCUGAAUGGAUCAAGGACACGUGGCGGCUCCGUGAGCUGACGUCUUAAUCAGCCUUGGGAGGCAGGGAAUUCUAACCUGUGGCUCAACAUGGAAGGACCUAGAGGACCCUGUGCCCAGUGAAACAAGCCAGACGCAAAAGCACAAACACUGAAGGACCCCACCUCUGUGAGGUCCCUAGUGGGAGCGCGGUCACCGGGGCCAGGGAGGGUGCUUUGUGUUUGAUGGGCAGUUUCAGUUUGACAGGAUGAAGCGCGUUGCGGGGUGGGGACAGCUGUGCAACAACCUGGACGUGCCUAUUACCACCGAACGGUACGCUUGGUACACUUAGAAACGGUUGAGGUGUGGAGUUCCCGUCGUGGCACAGUGGUAAACGAACCC